rnacentral:rRNA from 1 species
UACAGAGGUCUCAAGCGUUGUUCGGAUUCAUUGGGCGUAAAGGGUGCGUAGGCGGCGCGGUAAGUCGGGUGUGAAAUCUCGGGGCUUAACUCCGAAACUGCAUUCGAUACUGCCGUGCUUGAGGACUGGAGAGGAGACUGGAAUUUACGGUGUAGCGGUGAAAUGCGUAGAUAUCGUAAGGAAGACCAGUGGCGAAGGCGCUCUACUGGGCCACAACUGACGCUGAGGCGCGAAAGCGUGGGGAGCAAACAGG